rnacentral:ncRNA from 1 species
AAAAAAUUUAAUUAUUAUUUAAUAGAUUUAUUUUAUGAUUGUAAUAUAAAUAAUUAUUUGAAAUUUAUUAUUUUUUUAAAAAAUAAUGAUAAUUUAUAAUUAAUAUUUAUAAUAAUUGAAACUUAAUAAUUUAAGAAAUAGUAAAUUAUAUUUUAAAUAGGAAUAAAAUUAGUGCCAGCAAUUGCGGUUAAACUAGUGUUUGACUAUGAGUAAAUUUAGAAAAUUUAAAAAUAUUUAAAAUUAAAAUUGUAUCAUAGUUAUAUAAAAGUAAAAUAUUAUAAGGUGAAAUUUUAAUAUUUAUUGAGGUAAUAUUGGUAAAAAUAAUUUAGAUAAAUUGUAAAAUUAAUGAAUAGACUAGGAUUUGGUACCCUAUUAUUUAAAUUAAGAAAAAUUAAAUUAAAAAAUAAAUGUAAGGAUCAUUAAAUUUAAAUAAUUUGGCGGUAUUUUAAUUUGUUAGGGGAACUUGUAAGGUAAAUGAUAAUCCACGAUAGGAGGGUCUUAGUAUAUUUUUGCGUACUGUUGUUUAAAAAUUGUUUUAAGAGAAGGUAAUUAAAAAAUUUAAGGUUUAAGUAAUAAUUCAAAUCAAAGUGUAGAAUUAUUAAGUUUGUAUGAGUUACUUUUAAUUUUAUUAUGGGAGGGAUAAUUUUAAUAAUUAUAUUUGAAUAAGUAUUUAAUAGUAAAUAAGAUAAAAUUUUAUUAGUUGAAAUUUUUUUAAAAUGUGUACAAAUCGCCCGUCAUUUUCGCGAAAGUUAGGAAUGAUAUAAGCGAAAGAAGUCGUAACAAAGUAAACGUACAGGAAUGUGUGUUUAGAUUUAU